rnacentral:lncRNA from 1 species
GAAAAGAAAAAUGACUGAAAAUAGUUCUAGAAUGUUGAGCUACCUCUUCGGUGACUUAGCAUCUAUAAAAAGAAAGUUAUAAAUCAUGGAUUCUGCUUCUGUACCUGAGUGAAAUGAGGAUCUACGUGUCUACAUAAAUGCCGUUAUGUUGGUUCAUAGAACUGUGAGAAAAAGAAAACCUAAUUAAAUGAAACAUCAGAGUCCACCAAGUCAUUCCUUGCCAUGCAUUAUUAUAUUAUUAUUUUGCAAAAUACAAACAAAAGACAGGGAACAAUGGAUUUCCUGCUUUUGCUGAACUGUGACUGCUCAGAACUCUGUAUCACUCUGUCCCUCUCC